GCAGUGAUGGUUCAGUGAUAGAAUUCUUACCUUCCAUGCGAGACACCUAGGUUCAGUUCCUGGCCAAUGCA
rnacentral:tRNA from 1 species